rnacentral:tRNA from 1 species
GGGGAUGUGGCUCAAGUGGUAGGGCGCUCAUCUAGCAUGUGUGAGGCACUGAGUUCGAUUCUCAGCACCA